rnacentral:rRNA from 1 species
GACGAACGCUGGCGGCGUGCUUAACACAUGCAAGUCGAACGGAAAGGCCCUGCUUUUGUGGGGUGCUCGAGUGGCGAACGGGUGAGUAACACGUGAGUAACCUGCCCUUGACUUUGGGAUAACUUCAGGAAACUGGGGCUAAUACCGGAUAGGAGCUCCUGCUGCCUGGUGGGGGUUGGAAAGUUUCGGCGGUUGGGGAUGGACUCGCGGCUUAUCAGCUUGUUGGUGGGGUAGUGGCUUACCAAGGCUUUGACGGGUAGCCGGCCUGGGAGGGUGACCGGGCCCAUUGGCACUGGGAUACGGCCCAGACUCCUACGGGGGGCAGCGGUGGGGAAUAUUGCACACUGGGCGGAAGCCUGAUGCAGCAACGCCGCGUGCGGGAUGACGGCCUUCGGGUGGUAAACCGCUUUCGCCUGUGACGAAGCGUGAGUGACGGUACUGGGUAAAGAAGCACCGGCUAACUACGU